rnacentral:misc_RNA from 1 species
GUACCAAAACCCUCUCUCGCUGCGUCUCUGCCUCUCCAAUUAUCUGACCCUUACCCUGACCAGAGCAACAAUGGCUGUUGAGGGUUUGGUACUUCGUGGCACCAUGAGGGCCCAUACUGACCAGGUCACCGCCAUCGCCACCCCUAUAGAUAACUCCGACAUGAUUGUCACCUCCUCUCGCGACAAAUCCAUCAUCCUCUGGCACCUCACCAAGGAGGAGAAAACUUACGGUGUUCCUCGCCGCCGCCUCACUGGCCAUUCCCACUUCGUCCAGGACGUUGUUCUCUCUUCCGAUGGGCAGUUUGCCCUUUCUGGAUCCUGGGACGGUGAGCUCCGCCUUUGGGAUCUUGCUACUGGCGUCUCUGCUCGCCGAUUUGUUGGGCAUACUAAGGAUGUGCUCUCUGUUGCUUUCUCGAUUGAUAACCGUCAGAUCGUGUCGGCCUCCCGUGACCGUACGAUUAGGCUAUGGAAUACUCUUGGAGAGUGCAAGUACACGAUCCAAGAUGGUGAUGCUCAUACUGAUUGGGUGAGCUGUGUCCGCUUUAGCCCCAAUACCCUUCAGCCCACCAUUGUUUCUGCUUCUUGGGACCGGACUGUGAAGGUGUGGAAUUUGACUAACUGCAAGCUAAGGUGCACUUUGGCUGGUCAUGGUGGUUAUGUGAACACUGUGGCUGUGUCACCUGAUGGGUCAUUGUGCGCGAGUGGAGGGAAAGAUGGAGUGAUUUUGCUGUGGGAUUUGGCAGAGGGGAAGAGGCUUUACAGCUUGGAUGCAGGUGCAGUUAUUAAUGCUUUGUGUUUCAGUCCCAACAGGUAUUGGCUUUGUGCUGCCACUGAACAUAGUAUCAAGAUCUGGGAUCUGGAGAGCAAGAGCAUUGUGGAGGACUUGAAGGUCGAUCUCAAGGCCGAAGCUGAGAAAUCCGAGGGCAGUACAGCUACUGCUACCAGCGCCAAAAAGAAGGUAUAUUCCCCUUUGCUUAUUGUUAUUGUUUAUUUUAGUUCAAUUGGCGUGUUUCUUGAUCUGAUUGUAUAAUGGUUUUGUGGUUAAUUGUAUAUUGUUUGUUUGGAUAAUUUGCUUGUGAACUUGGUUGAUUGUUAUGGUAUGUUGGAUAUGUUUGGUUGAGUGGUAGUAUUAUUUGAGUGCUUUCAUUGUUCGAUUGUGUGCUGAUUUUUUUUUUUUCAUUAAUCAUGUUGGGAUAAUAUAUUGUUCUUACAGAGAAAUGCAUGGCAAUUUUUGCCCAAGAUCUAUUGUUAUAUUUGUUAUAUAUUUGUUGUAAUUUUUUUUACUUGAAAUGUCUGCUUUUAUUAGCCUGACUUUGAAUUAUCUAUAGUUUCAAAUGUAUAUCAUCUAAUUGUGGUGUUUCAAAAUUUUUUUUUAUUAGUUUAGACAGCAAUCUAUAGUACUGGAAGUUGAGGCAAUUUUCUUAGCAUUCUGUUAAUCCACUAAUCAAGAUUGAUGUGCACGUGUGGCUAUUAUUGUUUGUUUUGUGUUGGAUGUUUAUCCAGAUUCGCCUGUUUUAUUUAUAGUUUUUUAUUUCUUGGACUAAUUUGCACAUAUUCACUCUCAUAUUAUAGUGUUACCAAACCCUGCUAUUUUCUGAACAAUAUCCUUAUGUCCUUUUACAUGAAGUUUUUGUAUAUUUUUGUUUGUGUUGUAUUUAAAUUUAUGAAAACCCUUGUAUUAUAUGAACUGCCAGUAAUUGUUGUAGGAUAUAGCUGUGUAUCUUUUGUGGUCAAUUCUAAUUGGUUUGUAACUAGGGUUAGUCGAGGGCCACUGUGUGUUCUUGCUGUUGUCGGAUUAAAGUUUUUCUUUGGUUAUUUUUGAAUGAAGAUGGUGGAAUUUUCCUUGCUGAUUAUUAUCUAGCCACAUUAUAUUAAUUGGGGAACCAUAACAUUUCGUCGAGUUCUUCAAGCUUGAGGAUUUCUCCCAUCAUAAUAUCUGGAAUGGUAAUUAUGGAGCUAUUAUUUAUUAUAUAAAUUUUGAAUUGUUUUUUCAGAACAUCUACUGCACAAGCUUGAACUGGAGUAUGGAUGGAAGCACUUUGUUCAGUGGUUAUACUGAUGGAGUUAUCAGAGUCUGGGGGAUUGGACGCUAUUAGGAAGCUUUGAUUUUAGUAGUGCAGAUUCCUUUUUUUGAAUGCUAAACAAAUGCUUUUCUUUGUAGUGGUUGAAACGCCAUUUAAGAUUUUGUUGAAAGUGUUGGAUCUUUUGUUGCCUCUUUAAGUUGGAUAAUUAUAUAUGGCUUUGAGGCCUCUGUUUUGUUUCUGGAUCACAUCUUCUGGAUUUCAUAUUAGAUGAUAAAUUGGUUUCCAAAUUUAAAUUUUCAAUGUGUAAUGUGAUAUGGCAAUUUACAUAUAAUCUUGAAUGUAGCCUUUAGAUCAAUGCCAAUCGUCUUAGGAGCCCUUUUUCUUGUUUUGUUUAUUUUUGGGUAAUAACUUAUUGUUUAGGAGAUUUUGCUAUUGAGGC